CCGCCAAAGGACCUUCAAACUCCAGUCAGUAAACGCAGACGUCUGAUAAACAAGUUAAUAAACUAAAACUUUCAACAACGGAUCUCUUGGUUCUGGCAUCGAUGAAGAACGCAGCGAAAUGCGAUAAGUAAUGUGAAUUGCAGAAUUCAGUGAAUCAUCGAAUCUUUGAACGCACAUUGCGCCCCUUGGUAUUCCGGGGGGCAUGCCUGUUCGAGCGUCAUUACAACCCUCAAGCUCUGCUUGGAAUUGGGCACCGUCCUCACUGCGGACGCGCCUCAAAGACCUCGGCGGUGGCUGUUCAGCCCUCAAGCGUAGUAGAAUACACCUCGCUUUGGAGCGGUUGGCGUCGCCCGCCGGACGAACCUUCUGAACUUUCUCAAGGUGACCUCGGAUCAGUAGG
rnacentral:rRNA from 1 species